CAGCAGCCGCGGGAAUACGUAGGUGGCAAGCGUUGUCCGGAAUUAUUGGGCGUAAAGGGCUCGCAGGCGGUUUCUUAAGUCUGAUGUGAAAGCCCCCGGCUCAACCGGGGAGGGUCAUUGGAAACUGGGAAACUUGAGUGCAGAAGAGGAGAGUGGAAUUCCACGUGUAGCGGUGAAAUGCGUAGAGAUGUGGAGGAACACCAGUGGCGAAGGCGACUCUCUGGUCUGUAACUGACGCUGAGGAGCGAAAGCGUGGGGAGCGAACAGGAUUAGAUACCCCGGUAGUCCCUGUCUCUUAUAC
rnacentral:rRNA from 1 species